GAACAUUGUUCCAUGGCUUAAGAAGUACGGGACCAACCCCAGCAAUGGAGAGGUACUCUUUGGGGUUCCCAAACUUGUCGAUUGUGCUGGCCCUCAUACCCACAAAGUAUGUUCUGGCAGUUAGCCACGCUGUUAGGGCUUACAUGAGG
rnacentral:sRNA from 1 species